CAAUAGCGUAUAUUUAAGUUGUUGCAGUUAAAAAGCUCGUAGUUGGAUUUCGGGUAGGAUUUGCCGGUCCGUCGUUUCGAUGUGCACUGGCCAGUCCUAUCUUGUUGUCGGGGACUAGCUCCUGGGCUUCACUGUCCGGGACUAGGAGCUGACGAGGUUACUUUGAGUAAAUUAGAGUGUUCAAAGCAAGCCUACGCUCUGAAUACAUUAGCAUGGAAUAACACGAUAGGACUCUGGCUUAUCUUGUUGGUCUGUGAGACCAGAGUAAUGAUUAAGAGGGACAGUCGGGGGCAUUCGUAUUUCAUUGUCAGAGGUGAAAUUCUUGGAUUUAUGAAAGACGAACUUCUGCGAAAGCAUUUGUCAAGGAUGUUUUCAUUAA
rnacentral:rRNA from 1 species